GUGCACCAGUCGCGAAAACUCCGCAAUACGCGAAAGCGUGACGGGGCCAUCCCGAGUGCCGUCCGCUGAGGAUGGCUUUUCUCUGCUGUAAGAAGGCAGAGGAAUAAGGAGAGGGCAAGUCUGGUGUCAGCCGCCGCGGUAAUACCGGCCGCCCGAGUAGUGACCACUAUUAUUGGGCCUAAAGCGUCCGUAGCCGGUUUUGUAAGUUUCUGGGUAAAUCCCACAGCUUAACUGCGGGAAUUCCAGAAAUACUGCAGAGCUAGGAGCCGGGAGACGCAGAAGGUACUCCUGGGGUAGGGGUGAAAUCCUAUAAUCCUAGGGGGACCACCAGUGGCGAAGGCGUUCUGCGAGAACGGGCUCGACGGUGAGGGACGAAAGCCAGGGGCGCAAACGGGAUUAGAUACCCCCGUAGUCC
rnacentral:rRNA from 1 species